GACGGACGCUGGCGGCGUGCUUAACACAUGCAAGUCGAGCGAGGCCCCUCCUUCGGGAGGGUGUCCUAGCGGCGAACGGGUGAGUAACACGUGGGCAACCUGCCCUCAGCUCUGGGAUAACUCCGGGAAACCGGGGCUAAUACCGGAUACGACCUCCACGGGCAUCUGCGGAGGUGGAAAGUUUUUCGGCUGAGGAUGGGCCCGCGGCCUAUCGGCUAGUUGGUGGGGUAGUGGCCCACCAAGGCGACGACGGGUAGCCGGCCUGAGAGGGGGACCGGCCACACUGGGACUGAGACACGGCCCAGACGCCUACGGGAGGCAGUAGUGGGGAAUAUUGCGCAAUGGGCGAAAGCCUGACGCAGCGACGCCGGGUGAGGGACGAAGGCCUUCGGGUUGUAAACCUCUUUCAGCAGGGACGAAGCGAAAGUGACGGUACCUGCAGAAGAAGCACCGGCUAACUACGUG
rnacentral:rRNA from 1 species